UGCAAAGUAUGGCGACCUGUUAACACAUUUCACUCAUUUGAUGGAUAAGAUGCAAAGUUAAUUUCAUGGUAGAGAAACACCCAAGACAUUGCUUGUUUUCUGUUAAUAUAGAAGACGUCUUUGACAUGAAUAUAUAGGAAAGUGUGUGUGUGUGUGAGUAUGUGUGUGUGUGAGUAUGUGUGUGCGUAUGUGCAGUGCAAACUACAAGACUGAACUCUUAUUCAAGCAGGUGUUAUUGUGAAACAGGAGAGCUGAUAAAUGCAUUAAGCCCAUAAAUUAUUUAUUGAUUCCGGGACAGCAUACAACAUGACAAGAAAUGAAAUAUAUUUGUGCAGUAUGCUUGCACAUGGAGAAAUUGAGGGAGUGUUCUUUUAUUUUCCUAGGCGGGAGCAUAAUGCCAGAAAGCAGUCUCUGUCUUUGAAGAAACAGAAGUACAAAGAUGAUCCGACAAUUUGGAGGUUAUAGUUUUGCAAAAUUGUUUAUUAUUCAUCGCAUUUGGAAACAGGGCAUCGAGAAGAUAAUCAUCUUCUUCAGCCUGUAUCUCUUUAGCAUGCUUCAAUUUAACUUCACCCGCUAGAAGACACCCUACAUAGAUAAAGACAAUAAAUGACAGAAAUGAAGGAGAAGACACUGCAUCCAGGCAAGGAGAACGUGGAGACGGUGACUGGGCUGGUCAGUGGUAGUGGCAACUUUGCUUGAGAAAAUGUCGUUGAUGCUAAGGAGAAGUCAGCCAAGAGAACAAGUAAAAGAACCUUCUAGGAAUAAGGCACCUAGGAAUCUUCUAGGAACCUUCUGGGAAUCUAGGUCGGGGACAAUGAGCAUCCUCAAGCCUUGAUAAUCUGCUGAACUACCUUCUUGAUCAGAAACUGGUGAUGGAGCUAGGAAAGGAGUGGAUGGGAAGGGAAGGCAAGCCAGAUCCUGACAGUGAUGACUUCAGACAGCGAGCCCAGAAGAAACACAUGGGAAGGGCAUAACUCCACCCCCAGAAGGCGUUCAUUUGCAAGAACUUUGGAUUGAAACCAAGUUAUCACACUCUUUGUUUAGAGCCUAAGUUGAAGCCAGGCUUGGUGCUUGAGACUCCCAACACUGAUUACCUGGUGUUUGACUCUUCAUCCAUCUGGCUUUCGUUCCUGUUCUACCCAGCCUGCUUCUUUAGCUCCUCGCCAUCCAGUCUAGCCAGACCAAUCUUCUGAAGACCUUUCAUUCGACAGAGAAUAGACACCAUCCUGUGUGUUCUCACCAUUAUUCCUAAGAGAUGCCUGGUCCAUCCAAAUCUUAGGUCCCACUCCAUAUCUUCUCUACCCUUAGUCCUGAGAGGGUCGUGUACUUCAUUACUCUUAUGCCCCUGACUGCCUUCGUGGGUCAGCUCAGAGCCUGCAGUCAAGGAGAGGUGGUCCUUCUUCCCCUUAGUGGAUACACUUAGGUGGACUCCUCUUUCCCAUGCCUAAGAGGCAUCUCAUGAAGACCCAAAAGUUUCCUGGGUUAUUUGUAACAAUUACAAUGGUGUAAACUUGAUAAUGAUAUUUAUUUUCAAGUAUUAAAAAUCUCCCCUAAACUAAAUUUAUAGGACCUAAGCUGAAGUUCACAAUUGUGUAGUUUUGGGUAGAGUCUUUUUGUUGUUGUUUGUUUGUUUGUCUGUUUGUUUGGUUUUUCGAGACAGGGUUUCUCUGUGUAGCCCUGGCUGUCCCGGAACU
rnacentral:lncRNA from 1 species